GAUGAACGCUGGCGGCGUGCCUAAUACAUGCCAGUCGAGCGAACGGAUGAGAAGCUUGCUUCUCUGAUGUUAGCGGCGGACGGGUGAGUAACACGUGGAUAACCUACCUAUAAGACUGGGAUAACUUCGGGAAACCGGAGCUAAUACCGGAUAAUAUUUUGAACCGCAUGGUUCAAAAGUGAAAGACGGUCUUGCUGUCACUUAUAGAUGGAUCCGCGCUGCAUUAGCUAGUUGGUAAGGUAACGGCUUACCAAGGCAACGAUGCAUAGCCGACCUGAGAGGGUGAUCGGCCACACUGGAACGGAGACACGGUCCAGACUCCUACGGGAGGCAGCAGUAGGGAAUCGGCCGCAAUGGGCGAAAGCCUGACGGAGCAACGCCGCGUGAGUGAUGAAGGUCUUCGGAUCGUAAAACUCUGUUAUUAGGGAAGAACAUAUGUGUAAGUAACUGUGCACAUCGUGACGGUACCUAAUCAGAAAGCCACGGCUAACUACGUG
rnacentral:rRNA from 1 species